CAAAUGGAUCUGAUUCUAGAUCUUUCUAUCUACUUAACCAUGAGAUCUUUGGAUAGCUAUUCACAUUUAUUGAGUGGGAGACUUUUCUUCUAGUUUUUCAAGUUUCUCUCUCUCACGUCUUAUUCUCUCUAAGAAAAAGUUACUCUCUUCUCUCACUACUAACUCUCAGUUUCGGCCCCUUCAUAUCUCUCUCUCCUUUGUGCGAAAAGCCCCUUUCUUCUUAGUGAGAUUAGGGCUUGAUUCUUGGAGUAUUUUCUAAAAGAAGAAUCUGUUAACAUCAAGAAAUAUUGUAGAUCCAUGGGGGUAUUGUACUAUUUCAGUUUUGGAUGAGUCGAACCUGUGGGAUUCGAGUUCUGCCUCGAUUUGGUGAUCUUGGCCUCUUCAUGUGUGAAAUAGUGGCUGGUUUGUUUUGUUCCUCGGUGGAAUGUUAUUUGGCUGUGAAAGAAGCACUUGUAGUUGUUAUGUGAGAGAGGGCAGUUUAGUUGCUUGUGAGAUCUUCGUGAUCUUGGCCGGUUCUAGUGUGGAAUAGUGGCCCCUUUUUUGGUGUUCUUCAUAAGAUAAGUCUUUGUGAUUUAUUACUUUGUAAUAUUUUGGAACAUUAUUGCUGCCUAUUUUUGGGGCUUUAUAGUGCAAUCGAGUUUUAUUCAUUUUAAUGAAUGCUCAACAGGGGAUUAGACGUUAGAAGUGGUCGUCGAACCUUUGGGGAUUUGGCCGAAAAAUUCUCCCUGUUCAUUUUUAUUUUCUGCACUUUAUUUUCAGUUUAUAAUUGUGGCUUUGGAAUUUUGGUUAAUAUUAGUAUCUCUCGACUUUUCAACGGAACAUAGGGUGAAAAUUCUAGCAGCCAAGGAUUGAAGUUAAAGAGAGACAGAUAUAUGGCCUGGCUGAAAGAAUUUAUGGCAGCCAAAAUAGAGAGAAUUGUGCGGGUAAAGAGAGAGUUAAAAAGAGGGAGAAAAAAGGUACGUAUAUGCAUACGUUUCUCUGAGUGUUCUAGCUAUGUGUAGUACAUAGAGUGUUGAAUUUUUGUUUUAUUAUUAUUAUUUUGUGUGUGUGUGUGUGUGUGUGUGUGUGUGUGUAAGAUUUUUGGGUUAAUUGAUUCUCAUUCUUCCGUAGCAAUUGGAGAGUUGAUUUCUGGUUUUUUGUUUUUUUGUUCUUGUUUUUGUGUGUAUGUGUGUGUGUAAGAUUUUUGGGUUAAUUGUGUGUGUGUGUGUGUGUGUUUUUUUCUCUUUCUUGCUUAUUUUUAAUUUUGACAUUGUAAAAUGUGUUUCAUAAAACCCAUUUUUGAGAGUGGAAAAAUGUUUUUUAAUGGUACGUCCACUUGGCAUAAAUCUAUUGGCUUUAAGAGACAAUGCAAGAUAGGAGACCAGUACGGACCAAAGACGCAAAGUAAGAAGAACAAAAAUCGAAGAGAGUUGUAAAUGUAUAAAUUUAGUUGUACAUGUA
rnacentral:lncRNA from 1 species